UUAAGAUAAGAGUAGACCUAAAUGUCAUCUAUAAAAUGGUUGUUUAUUUAAGAGCCUCUAUAGGCUACAAAGUAUAACUUUCUUUACGUUUGCAAUGUUAAUAUUUGUAAUAAUACAAACUACUACUUGCUUUUAAAAACAAUUGUAGUAGUAGGUCUAUGCUCAGCUAUAGCCACUUGGCACACCAUUCAUGGAAUCCACUGAGCUACAUAAAAAAAGGGCUCACCCGCGUGAGGGCUGAGUGGAACACAGCGCAGGUAUCGAGCUGGACUACGUCAAAAAGUAGCAGUUGGAUUCCGCUUAUCCGUCAAGAAGGGAGAAAGGAUAACAGUUGACAAAAAUUUACAUGUUAAUUCAGUGGAUCGAGGACCCCCCUACAUGGGAUGUGCUACCACAAAAUAAAGUUGUUAACGGCUUAUGCGAAGUGGGCUACAUAUGUGAUGUACAGUAUCGGGAUGAGACCAGCCCCGCUAAGAUUAUCCAGAAAGUUUUUUCAUUUAGGGAGUAGAACUAAAUUAAUGAAGGCCUUGGAAGCACUGGAGAGGGGGUGCAGAAAUGCAGCUACUGGCACAGAAGAACGUGGCCGUGGUCUCAGAGAGAAACGCCCCCCAGCUCAGUUUUCACCUGCCAGCAGUGAGGAAGAUGAGGAAAGUUAUGAGGCCAAUAGCCUCAUAAAUAUGACCUUAAUUGAUGGAUCUUCUGAUCUAACUUCUGAGGGCAAUGUUAAGUCUUUUUUUUUUUUUGAAAAUGUUCAAUCUUUUAUUAUGCUGUAGGAGGACACAAAUCCAAAACUAAAGGGGAAAAAGAAUUUAACAAAGGCUCUGUCUCUGCAGUUUUUAAAUGAAUUUGAAGAGAGUGAGCCGGGAUACUCCAGAGAUGUGAUCAAAUUACUCAGCCAGCGUCAUCCACAUUAUCAAGAUCAUCACCCUUAUUACCAUCAUCAUCAUCGCCAUCACCACCCUCAAGAACAACAUCAUCAACAUCACCACCCUCACCCUCACCAAUCCAGAUUCACAUAGGCCCUACAGUGAAGAUCACGGCCACCCAGUAUGCCCACAUUAAGUGGAGUGACCCUAGAAAGGCCACCAAGGACUUGUUGAUGGCAGUGUUUGGGAGGCAGGUCUUGGCCACACAU